AGCCUUCUGUAUCCGUGCUGAGAUUUUGUCACACACCAGACCACAAGGGCUGAUAAGACUCAGCAAAUAUGUGAAGCG
rnacentral:pre_miRNA from 1 species